UACGAAGGGGGCGAGCGUUUGUUCGGAUUUACUGGGCGUAAAGGGCGCGCAGGCGGCUAUCUUUGUCAGGCGUGAAAGCCCCGGGCUCAACCUGGGAAUGGCGAUGGAUACUGGCUCGCUAGAGUGCGGUAGAGGAGAGUGGAAUUCCCGGUGUAGCAGUGAAAUGCGUAGAGAUCGGGAGGAACAUCAGUUGCGAAGGCGGCUCUCUGGACCAGCACUGACACUGAGGCACGAAAGCGUGGGGGAGCAAACAGG
rnacentral:rRNA from 1 species